rnacentral:rRNA from 1 species
AAUGAACGUUGGCGGCGUGGAUUAGGCAUGCAAGUCGUGCGGAAAGGCUCCUUCGGGAGUACUCGAGCGGCGAAAGGGAGAGUAACGCGUGGAUAUCUACCCCCUGGCCUGGGAUAGCGGCGGGAAACUGCCGGUAAUACCAGAUAAUGUCUGCGGACCAAAGGUGUGAUUCCGUCGGGGGAUGAGUUCGCGUCCUAUUAGCUAGUUGGGAGGGUAAUGGCCUACCAAGGCACAAAUGGGUACCGGGUGGGGGAGCAUGGCCCGGCUCACUGGGACUGAGACACUGCCCAGACACCUACGGGUGGCUGCAGUCGAGAAUCGUCGGCAAUGGGCGCAAGCCUGACCGGGCGACGCCGCGUGCGGGAUGGAGGCCUUCGGGUUGUAAACCGCUGUCAGAGGGGAGGAAAUGCGUAGGAGUUCUCUCUUACGUUUGACCUAUCCUCAGAGGAAGUACGGGCUAAGUUCGUGCCAGCAGCCGCCGUAACAC